rnacentral:rRNA from 1 species
CCGUCUAGACACACUCAUCUUUAUCUCCUUCACCUCAUGAUUUUGUCUUCUUCUCUGUACACACAAAUUAACAGCAACCAAAGCCAGCAGCAACUCGGUGCCAUGAGCGAGGAAGAUGAGAGGGAACACAACACACACAGCUACGGGGAGAGGCGCCAGGAAACCACGGAGCCCCGUGUGUGACAGCAAUGAGAUACGUUGGGUGAAGGACGAUGACAGGAGCCAUUGAAGGUCUGUGAGAGAUGCCCAAGCAGGUCACACGCGAGGGUUGGCGAACAUAUAACAGAUUGAAUUUUCAGAGGAGCUGUAUUGCAUCCUAGUCACCAGCACUACUCAGUAUGGAUCAAAUUUUGCGAUCAAUUAAAAUAAAAAAUGUUGCUGCCUUGAAGAUAAGAACAUGAAGGUGUUUUUGACCUUCUCGAACAAUUAGUUUUGACAUUCAGCCGUUUUUUUCUAAUUCCAACAAGUGAGCUAACUUGACAACAACAUAUAAUACUCGUUUUUUUGCAGCUGAACUGAUGCAUCUAGCGAAGCCGACCCGCAACAAUGGCCAAUUAUUCAGAGGAUAAACACAAACAAGCGAUGAAACUGGAGGUUUGCUGUAGAUAGAAAUAACAGUAGCUUCCGUAAGGUGGUCUCAGGCGGGAGGAAGUUGUGGCCUCGGGAGGUGGCGGAGCCUCACCGAGAGGAGGCGGAAGGUUCCGCCCGAGCUCUGCCACGAGGUGGAGCAGUGGCUUGGAUCCACCGGGGCGGCGACCCGUCGACAGGCAGGGGUUGGCGUCGGCGGGGGUGGCAGGCUAGGUUGGGUCUUGGCGGCAACGCGCUGGGGAAGAUGGCGGCGGCGGCGGUGUGGCGGGGCAGUUGUCGGCGGUGUGGCGGGGCAGUUGUCGGCGGCGGGCGCGGCGGGGCAGUUGGCGACGGCGGCGCA